GGCUCACAGAGAGCCAUCAUUGCAUUUCGGUCUCCCUAACUGUGGCCAAGGUUUCGGAAAAGAAUAUUUUUUUCUCAACUAAAAAAUACGUGUCGAAGCCGGGGGACAUCUUCUCCAGCUGAGGACCAGCUGCACAACUAUGACGCAGAAGCGCAUUCGUUUGAACUGGUGGCCGCAGCUGCUGUUGCUGGCUUGGCUCUGCGCAGCCGUCGCAAGCUCUGAGCCUUCCGCAA
rnacentral:lncRNA from 1 species